GUCCUCGCUUUUCUGAACCGUAAGGUGGUUCAGGAACAAGGGCUGGGCAAGACCGGUGCCAGCCGCCGCGGUAAUACCGGCAGCCCGAGUGAUGGCCGCUAUUAUUGGGCCUAAAGCGUCCGUAGCCGGCCGAACAGGUCCGUCGGGAAAUCUGCUCGCUCAACGAGCAGGCGUCCGGCGGAAACCAGUCGGCUUGGGGCCGGAAGACCUGAGGGGUACGUCCGGGGUAGGAGUGAAAUCCCGUAAUCCUGGACGGACCGCCGGUGGCGAAAGCGCCUCAGGAAGACGGACCCGACGGUGAGGGACGAAAGCUAGGGUCACGAACCGGAUUAGAUACCCGGGUAGUCCUAGCUGUAAACGAUGCUCGCUAGGUGUGGCGCAGGCUACGAGCCUGCGCUGUGCCGUAGGGAAGCCGAGAAGCGAGCCGCCUGGGAAGUACGUCCGCAAGGAUGAAACUUAAAGGAAUUGGCGGGGGAGCACUACAACCGGAGGAGCCUGCGGUUUAAUUGGACUCAACGCCGGACAUCUCACCAGCUCCGACAGU
rnacentral:rRNA from 1 species